CCUACGGGUGGCAGCAGUGAGGAAUAUUGGUCAAUGGGCGAGAGCCUGAACCAGCCAAGUCGCGUGAGGGAGUACUGCCCUAUGGGUUGUAAACCUCUUUUGUCGGGGAGCAAAAGCCGGACGUGUCCGGCUGUGAGAGUACCCGAAGAAAAAGCAUCGGCUAACUCCGUGCCAGCAGCCGCGGUAAUACGGAGGAUGCGAGCGUUAUCCGGAUUUAUUGGGUUUAAAGGGUGCGCAGGCGGAUUUUUAAGUCAGCGGUAAAAUCGUGGGGCUCAACCCCAUCCAGCCGUUGAAACUGGGGAUCUAGAGUGUGCGAGAGGUAUGCGGAAUGUGUGGUGUAGCGGUGAAAUGCAUAGAUAUCACGCAGAACCCCGAUUGCGAAGGCAGCAUACCGGUGCACAACUGACGCUCAGGCACGAAAGCGUGGGUAUCGAACAGGAUUAGAUACCCCAGUAGUC
rnacentral:rRNA from 1 species